AAUAUUAUUUGUUCUCUCUUUUUUUAGCAAUGCAUCAGUCUAUACUGUUCUUAUCUAUUAUUCGAUAUUCUGUGUCUCCAUCCAGAUUCUCGUGUAUACCACGCGGGUCCGGAUCGGGGUGUUGUUUAUUUCUGUGCUAUUAAAAUUGUUAUGUCACUUUCUUUCAAUUUUAUUUAUCUUACUCAUUAUUCUUUCUCUUUUCUUUAUAUUUUAGCAUCCCA
rnacentral:lncRNA from 1 species